UACGGAGGGUGCGAGCGUUGUCCGGAAUCAUUGGGCGUAAAGAGCGUGUAGGCGGCUUGGUAAGUCCGCUGUGAAAGUCCAGGGCUCAACCCUGGAAAGCCGGUGGAAACUGUCAAGCUUGAGUCCGGAAGAGGCGAGUGGAAUUCCUGGUGUAGCGGUGAAAUGCGCAGAUAUCAGGAGGAACACCAAUGGCGAAGGCAGCUCGCUGGGACGGUACUGACGCUGAGACGCGAAAGCGUGGGGAGCAAAUAGG
rnacentral:rRNA from 1 species